ACUGCCCACGAGCGAAAUCAAAUGAACGAGGCCCCCUCGACUCCUUUCUCGAUCUGUUUCCUAGGGUGUGAACACCGCCGCCGCUGAUCCCAUCUUCCCCGGCGACAUGCCUCGCUGGCGGCCUCCUCUCUCCCAUCCACGCCGGCGACCUCCCUCUACCCCGCCCUCUUCGUCAACCCGUCUCUCCAGCAGCUCGGGCGAAACCCUUGCCCACCCGAUGCCACAGCGACCUAGCAGGCAGGCGGGAGGAGCCUUGCCCGGCCAUGGCGACACCGCCGGCGGCCUCCUCCUCCCCCUCACCUUCUCUCCCUCUCCCAAGGGAGGGAAGGGAAUGGAAGGGAUCCGACGGCAAAGGGAGGCAGCGCCUAGAUCCGCAGCCGCACCGGCGGGCCGCCGUCCCUCGAGGUCGUCCAUGGAGGUCCGACCCUCCCUUUAGCCAUGGACUGAGACGCCCGAAACCCUAGCUACCCGUGGAGGUCCAACGCCUCAACCUCCAAGGAAAGGACGCGCGCCGGCUGCAGGCCAUCUCCGGCGACCUCCGACCAUGGUUGCUCGGAUCUGGACCAGCUGCUGCUCCUACUGCUUCAGGUGGACGAGGACGAGCCCUCCCUCAUGGCUGCUGCGGCUGCCUACUCCCUUGGUCACCACGCCCCUCCCGUGCCUGGGGUCUCCUUUCUCUCCCGCAGCGGCCGCAGUAGGCGCGUGUGGCUAGAAGGGUUGAGGGAGCGAGGUCAGUGCACUCAGGGCGGACGCGGCUGGAGGUCAACGACGAGCAAGGGGCACGGCGGCGGCAGGUGGCUGCUGUAGCAGAACCAGCCAUCUUCCCGAUCCAGGCUGCCCAGGCAGGUUCCAGCCGGGCAUCCGCUGGCCACGCGCAUAAAUGUAUCAGGAUAAAUGCCAUGUGUUGUGGCAAUGAAGAAAAGAAAAAGAGAGUUGCCAGAACUAGGACAUGACACAAUUGGAAUCUGUCAGUUCUGAACUGAAUAUUUUGUGCACAUUGCAGCAGAGAAAUUGGGGUAGUUUACAGUUUUAUGAUCUGUAUAGUGAGCUCUAAGGGUAACAAGACCUUAUUUUCUUUAUGGAAUUUGGUGUCUCAUCUCAAAUAUGUGUGCCUCUACGAUGUAAAUAUCUGGAGAUGUGUACUUCUGGAAUAUUAUAACUCGAAGUGAAUUCUCAUUUCACUUCUUGCUUAUUUAGUGGAAUAUAAUCGGACGAAGAGCGGAGGAAAGUGGACCAUGAACAAUGGCGUGGCUCCGUAAUGUGGGACACCUCGCCAUUGAGGCGAGCGGCGGCUGCAUAUCCCACACCACACUUACCAUCUGCACGGGGGCCAUGGCCAAGCGAUGAAUUUUGCUCUGCACCAAGCUGGGAGUUUCUGCCUUGGCCUGCUCUUGACCAGCGGAGAGGGCACCAUGGCGAAGGUGAGGUGGGCAUCAUCCAGUUUUAAAGGGGAGGGCUCCAGCAAGAAAUGUACCGCUACGGCGAGAAACCGAGCUGGAAAGGGAGCGUCCAACAGAAAAAUGGCAGGGUGCGUCAGGGGGUGGCAUUUUGCAGAAUGGUCUGGGGAGGUUCGCAACAUUGUCUACUCAUCUGAUGGGAAAAUCUCUAUCUGUUGCGUAUCGUGUGACUAUGGAACUGAUGCAGAGUUUGUAGGUCCUACUAUUUGAUCAGUGGAUGCGACUGAUGGGGGCAUGGAGAUGAUGGCGAGGCAUCGUGUUGUGGUGGCGGUGAUGAAGGUAACCUCGUCGAUGGCGGCGGCGACUGGUGGCUGUUGACGAAAGCGAUUCGGGGAUGGGGGAUGUGGAGUGGCAAGGGAUGGAGGCGUAGAACUGCAGCCGGGGAGACGGAGUGGCGGCAAGAUUGGACGAGCUCGCCUGCGGAGUGCGUGGGCAAGAUUUCCCUUUCCGGGUCAAACGAGGGCUUCCUUCUGUGUGUAUGUGUUUGUGUGUGUGCGCGCACACACAUGCGUGAGUUCACACUGAUAUUCCACUAAGUACAGCGCAUGCUUAACUGAAAUUCUAGACAAAAGUUCACAUCCGGUUGGUACAUGUAAGAAGCUCAUUUCUAAUUUAUCAGGUGGCAUAAAUAGACCAUAAAAUUAUCUUCAUUUAUAGUGCUAAAGAUAUGCCAAUACAUUUUCUUACGUUUAGGGUCCUAAACCUGUUGAAUGAAUUCUAUAUACAAGACUUACAGUUGUCCUUCUAUAAAUUAAGACUGAAUUUGCUAAUCUUUGUUGUAUUGCUAUUGAUGAGUCUAUAAUUGUCAACCUUGACAGUAACAAAACUCAAGAUAGUUUUAUCUCUUAGUGUGAGCAAAUAAGAUUUUUUAAGAGCUUUCCUUUGGAAUAUUUUUCUAUUACAGAAGUUGAUGCUCGAUAUUUUUAUCCAUUCCUGAUAUCAUUUCUUGAUCUACUACAUCAUUAACAAGAGCUUGGGAUUGCUUCAGGGAUUCUACGGAUGUUCUCCCAUAACCUCUUGAAGUGAUGCAAUGCGACGAUCUUCAACCAUGAAAAUGAAACUGCCAGCGUGGACGGAAACUGCCAGCAUGGACGGCCUACUCCUAUGAUCUCACAGGUUCUUGCUUACACUGGGAAUGAUGAGGCUAACAAGUUUUUCCUUGGAGGUGAAUGUCACUUGACAACACGAAGCUUCAGCUGCAGCAGCGUCUUGCCUGCGUCAUAUAUUUUGUAUUAUGUUUUUGUGGGCAUGGUUCUGAACUUUGGCAUCGAUGGAUAGAAUUUCGUCCAAACUAUAAUGUUGUUGUUCAAGUGUAGGAUAAUUCGUUUUGAUGUCUCUGUUGUGUGUGCGCGGGCAUGUGCCAAAGGCGUCUAAUAGAACCCAGGUGAAGGCGAAGGAGGUUUGGCUCUCAGGCAUGUGUAACACUCGAUGAUAACAACGUGCAGACUGAAAAUAUGGAUCCCAAGUUCAAAGCCAUAUCCAAUUAGUUUGUCUCUCAAAAAAAAAUACAACAAAUGCUAAAGGAUGAUUUACCCAUGGAGGCAUGGACCGAGAUUGCUUUAAUUUGGUCGUACGGAAGAUUAUGUUUGAUGACAUCCAAAUGGCACAAAAAACAAAACAAUUGAUAGACAAACAUUAUCUCGACAUGAAAUUUUGGACUUGCUUGCUGGUGGCUGGUGCCCUGCAGGGACCAGGUGGUGCCGUCGGCCGCGGCGCCGCCGCCACCGUCGUUGCAGCAGCUAGGCCGGGAGUAGCCGAGCAGGGGAGAAGCAUAAUUGUUUUCUAUAUUCUGCUCCUCCCACCGACCAGUUGAGGGUUGGAGUCAUCGCACAGCGCCGUCAGGCGUCAGCUAAGUUAAAGAAUUGAGAAUUGGACGACUGGCCGGUUCGUACGGCUGCUCUUAGUGCUCUGCCGAUUUGGCCUUCGGAUUGUUGCCUGCUUAACUGCUUGUGGGAUGUAUAAGCACAAAAAACAGUUCAAAAAAUUACAAAUGAAAUAUAAUAUUUCAAAAAAAUGUUCAUCACCAUAAAAAUGAUAAUUUUUUAAAAAUAUUCUCGAAUUUUUUAUUUAAAAUACACCUCAUAAUAAAAAUGUUUGUGCUUUCUGAACAACCAAAAAAAAAUACUUUCAUCUGAUGAAAUGAAAGUGCAUAGCUGAAAUAGGUAUGACGAACAUUGUUAGGGUACGACCAAAUUUCAUGGUCCAAAAAAAUCAUAGUUAAAAAAGGCGCGCCUAGAUUCUAGGCGUUGGCAAAUACUCAGUGUAAUCUUAUUUUUGACGUUUGCAAAAGUAGGACUAAAAAGUGUUGAAUAAUGGCACAUGGAGCAGGUUUUAAUU